UACGUAGGGUGCGAGCGUUGUCCGGAAUUAUUGGGCGUAAAGGGCGCGUAGGCGGCUUUUCAAGUGACGGGUGAAAGCCCUCGGCUUAACCGAGGAACUGCCUGUCAGACUGGAAGGCUUGAGACCGGGAGAGGUGAGUGGAAUUCCCAGUGUAGCGGUGAAAUGCGUAGAUAUCGGGAGGAACACCAGUGGCGAAGGCGACUUUCUGGCCUGUUCUUGACGCUGAGGCGCGAAAGCUAGGGGAGCAAACGGG
rnacentral:rRNA from 1 species